rnacentral:lncRNA from 1 species
GCCUCCGCCCCUGGGUUGGCGGACCGGGGAAGGAGCGAAGAUGGCGGAGUGAGGCGUGCCCCGGGCAGCUGGCCUGCGGGCCCGGGGCAGGCCUCCCGCGAGAAGCGGAGUGCUUGUGCUGGACCGUGUGAGGAACCAUAUCACACAAGAUGAAAAAUUUCCUGACCUUAGGUGCUUUUAUAUUCAGCUCAACAUUCUGAACUCAGGACUUGGCCCGUAAGUAGGAAUGAGAUAAUCAUCCCAAGUCCUGUUGUAGCAGCUGAGAGGCUCCAUAGAAGCAGCACACUAAACUGUUAAGAGCAACAGAAGAUGAAGAUAAAAAUGAGUACAAGCCAGCUGCCAUGGCUCGCUUUUAACCCAGCUCCUGGGACCUGGGGAACUGAGGAAUUCCUAUGUGGACUUCUCAAUGAGGCGUCCUGGUUCUUCCAUCCUGUUACUUUCCCCAAUGAGAUGCAGAUGUCUUUCUACCGAUUACCUCCAUGGUUUAGGAUGCAAAGACUGCCUUUCUUUUACUUCACGUCAGACUCAACACAGGAAAGCCGGGAGGAUGCAGCCGUCCUGUUGACUUCAGGAAGAAAAUAAACAAUGGACUUGGGUCUUCUGCAGCUUUUUAGUUAGAAAGACAGUGUUUGCAAGUAGAAGGAAGAUGUUGAAUUUGAAACAAGUACUUAGGUUCUGUGGCGUGUGUUUUCUUUUUAAAAGAUCCAAACAAGAAGACUGAACAAAAUACCAAGUGUGGGUGACUUCAGGUUUUUUUUUAAUGUCUUCCAAUUUUAACACUAUUAUAAGCACAGUUGACCGCAGUAAGUUCCAAAUAUUUAAUAUAAUUUGAAGUGAAAGAAAUGUUAUCUAAAUUCUGGCUCACUCUUUGACAGAUUUCCUGGACAAAAACAAGAUACGAUAAAAGCAGAAACCAAGGGUUGGUUUUGUAUGGGAGUGAAACCAUUACAGUUUUAUGUGUAUAAAUCUACAUUUUUAAACAAGAUUUUUCUCUUGGAGAAGAAACCUGUUGUUUAUAAGAAGGCUUUGGACAGUUUAAUAGUCUUAAAUGUUCUGCUUUGCUGUUCUAGUCCUUCUCAGGAAGGCCCAGCUGGGCCUGUGGCUAGUUCAGAAUGGGAGGAAACAUAGGCUGGGACAAUGCUCACCCUGAACUGCCAGCAUGUGGGAGACCAAGGCAGGAAGAGCAGAUGUUCAGGGCCAGCUUGGACAUCAUGAUGAGACUCAAAACCAGCAGGAAAAAAAAACAGAGUCCAGUAACACCCUCUUUUAUAUUCCUUUUGUGGAAUCAUAUGUAGGAUGUGAGACUGGGUUGGAAGGGAACUGGCAUAUGUGGUCUUGAGUUAAGGUGAUGUGGUGGACCCUGGUGUGUAACUGGCCUUCACCUUUGGACAUAGAGGAAUGAAGGAAAAACUAAGGCUUGGCGUAUAAAUCCUUUCUUCUAAGAAAUAGAAGCAAAGCUGUCUAAUGCAGCAUUGUCUGACUUUCCAACAUUUUUACAUUAUGUAGUUGCAUUUUUUAUAAAAAUAUAAAUAAGUUCCUUCAACCCAAAAUAGGUACUUGGACAGGUUUUUUUUUUUUUUUUUUUCUGGGUGAUAAUGUAAUGUUAUGCUGAAAAUCUGGGACUCAGGUAAAUUUUCCCAGUUUGAAUUGAGCUAUGUUACCAGAGAAUGGGCCUCAGAAGCAAUGUUCCCAGUCCUGUGAUUGGUUCACUAUAAUCUCAAAAGAAAUUUGGAAUAUGAAUCAAAUUUCAAAUAAGAAAAGCAGAUCCGAUAAGAAGUGUGGAUCUAGUUGCUAGUCACUGUAGAUUUAAAGGAAAUUCAGGGCCUGGGGUGGGGGGGGAUAACUCGAGAAAAUUAAUUCCAGUCAGGGGUGACAUGCUCUUUCUUCCUUUAGUAGUUAUGUUAGAAGGAACUAUUGUGGAGAUGUCUCUUUCUUCCCAGUCAAUGGAAGUUUAUUAUAUGGAUGCCAGGCUUUUACAUGAGAGGGUACCAUUGUUUGCAAAGGUUGCCGGUAGAGAAGGAGUUUUAAGCUUGUUAGAUGAGAGAGAAACAGAUGCUGUUAGAGCUGACUUCUGGAACGGGUUCUCAGUGCUGCAGGUGCUGUGAAUUUGAGUCAUAAAAAUGUUCAAAAUUAGAAAAUGUUGAACAUACAUGGUUAGUCAGAUUGGGCAACAAAAUUGAAUUUAUGCUAAAAGCUUUUUUCAUGAAUAUUUAUUAUAAAUAACCUAUUAAUGAGAGCAAAUAAUAAUAAAAUACUAGAGAAAUAACAUGUUUAAGGUAACCUAAAUUGCUGGGCUUGGUUGCUCACACCUGUAACCACAUUUUGACGACUGAGGCAGGAGGAUAGGCCACAAAGAUCAAGGCCAGCCUGAAAGACAGACACUGUCUCAAAAUGAAACAAAAAUAUAACCCACAUUUUUCAAGGGCCCCAGCCACUUAUAUUUUUAUUUAGAAGACAAAGCCAGCUGGUGGUUGAGAGCACUUCCUAGAUGCUGAGCUGUCCUGCACCUUGCCCUUGGGCAGGCAGGGGCUGUCACUGCUAGGGAAGUGUCCCCCAUUUGCUCCAGGUGCUUCAGGUGAGUGCACUUUGUCUGAGACGCUCGCUCCUGCAUCCUGCAUCAUUAACACCAAAUGGUGUUCACAGCAUGGGUGGAUCCCAGCUCUAAUUGCCUGGUGUGUGUGUGUGUGUGGCACUUUUCCAUUUAUAGUCUUACUUGGGGUUUCUUCUUAAUAGCAGCAAAGACUACCAUUUUAGAGUUGUGCCUCCAUCUAUAGCUGUGCCUCCUCCCUUCUCCAUGUAAGCUGGCAGUUUUUCUUUUGAAGUUUCUAAACAAAAACGGGAUAUGUGCAAUAUAUAUAAAUAUAUAUAUAUAAUGUAUAUUUUAAUACUUGUGGACAAGUGUUACAAGUUGUUUAAGAACAACAAAAUCACCAAUGUCUUCCAUUUUGAGAUGUGUAUAGUUUUUGUAAGCAGUACUGCUUGAUAGCAUAUUGUAGUGCCAUGUUAGGGGUUAGUGCAUGAAUUUAGUAUAAUUUUAAACUUCAAGAUGAAAUAUUGAUAAUAACCAGUAGUGUAAAAAGUGGAAAAUCCUAGACCUUUCCUUUUUUGUGUGUAUGAAUAUUUGACAGUCUCCCUGGGGAUAGGAGAAAAAGGCCAAAACAACUAAUGUCUGAACAGAAGUGUGGGUUCACACUGAGAGACACUGUGCUUGGGGGAAUGUUAGGCCUUUCAGAGGGGAGCUAGAAUAGCUACCUUUGUAGCUCCUCAGUCCUCACAGCAAGGCCUGGGUUGAGGCUUCCCUUGCUCUCUUAGUUUGAAGCUAGAUUGGUCCUGUAUUGAUUUGGCAUUGUAUGUUUUGGGUUCACUUUUCCUCUUUUGUGUCCAGAAAAUAAUUUUCUGUUUUGCAUGUCUGAGAUGCUGUGCUGAUUGCUUUGGAAUGUUUACUCUGUGGCCAUUUCCUUUCCUGCUUGCAGCAUGUGUGCUAACUGCAAAGCCUUGUCAGCAGUUUGGAGUAUCCUGUACUUUAGGCUUUGCCCCAUCCCACAUCUGACUUGGGUGUUGAGUCCAGUCUCUCUCAUGAGAACUGAUAGCUCAGUGGGGCCCAUGUAGGUUGACAAGAAGUAUGUUGGCCUCUCCUUUGGUAAUUGUUGAGAGCUUUCACGUUUUUUCUACUUUCCUUAUGGAAAUAAAGUAGUUGCUUUGUUCUGAAAAAUAAAGUUUUCUAUAAAAUGGAAUUCCUACCUCUAAAAGCUGCCUAGGAAACUUGGAAGUAGUCAUUUUCUGAAGAGUUGUAGGGUUUUGUGGGUUUUUUUAUUUGUUUGUUCCUUUUAAAUAAUUUUUAGAAAUAGAGUCCUGCGGGGUAUGGUGGUGAAUGCCUGUACACUCCCAGCCUUGGGAAGUUGAGGCAGUAAGAUCAGGAGUUCAAGGUCACUCUCAGCUACGUAGUGAGUUGGAGGUCAGCCUGGGAUACACGAGACCCUGUCUCGGAAAACCAAAAGAAAAGAAAGAAAAGUGUAUGUAGGAUUUCUUAACAUGUAUUACAUUAGUAUGAUAGGAAAUGUAAAACUUCCCUGUAGAAACUAGGUCUGAGUCUAGUAUUAGAUAUGCAGGGUCCCAGGAAGAGGCUCCCUUCACUCAAGAAGAUGGUCAGCACCUGGGAGAAUCUGCUUCAGAAAACACUUAAGAAACGAAGGGGAAAGACUUGAAAAAAGUAAGACUUAUAAAGUAGCACAGUAUAGGAAAGGACAUUUCCUGUUGCAAAUCACAAAAGCCAUAAGUGAACUAAUAAUAAUGUUAAAGAGGUGGGAUUCUGUAGCAAUAAUAGGUAUGGAUGGACGGUAAAUUGUGCUCACAAAGCUGUGUGGUUGAGUGGUUACUGGUUGAGUUUGUGGGGCCCUGCAGUUUAUUAUAGAGUUCCACAAAAGGAAAAACACAUCCUAGUUAAAAGGCAUUUAAACUAUGAAUGUAUAUGAAUAUAUUUGCGUGAAAAAAAUAUCAACUUUCAUAUAUGUGUUAAAGAUCCUAUUUUGUUUCCCCAGAGUUUACAGCUGUUGAAUCUUUCUAGGUACUUAAUCUGGAAUCCCAGUGAAGCCAACAUGUAGGGGUCUUGCUUAAAUUGUUUGUAUUAAUAGUCAUUUACUAUAUAGAAUGAUCUAUGCUUUAUUCAAAUAAUAUAACCUUUGUGCAUUGGGCUCCUGGCUACUGUUUCAAAGGGAAAAGUUUGUUUUUGUGUGUGAUUAGUGUGUCUUUGGGAUAGGGGGAGCCUCAAGAACUUACUGGUAUUUCCUUGUACUUAGACUCAAGGAAGUUAGGACUAAAAGUGAACAAAAUGACUGGCAGUGCCCAGGCAGGGAGUUAUCUGAAUAUCUGGUAAGUGAAUGUGAUAAGCUUGUGGCCAGUGUUCGCAUCCUUAUAUCAAAGAGAACCCAGCAGACUCAUUCCUUUCUUAUCUGAGAUGUAAAAUGGAACUAGGGCCACUCCUCAUUUCCUUUACCUCAUGGCAUUGUGGCCAGUUAGCACCUUCAACAUCCCUGAAAAGAUCUGGGUCUCUGUUCCUUUGUUUUCCCUGGGAAGAAAAGUCAAAAAGUAGUUUUGUAGAUCUAAGACUCUUAUUUUAUUAUAAGCCUAAGGGUAGGGAAAAGGCUACAUUGAGUGUAGUUUCUCUUUAGAUGUCCUAAACUAUCCAUGUUAGCUUUUGGGACAACCAAGCAAUAUUUAGAACAAUUGCAUGAUCAUGAAGACAUAGCUAAUUCAGUUACAGCAGAGAUUACCCUUAACAGCCAAGUUUAUGGUUCUAAAUGAAAAAAGUAUGCUACAAGAUUUUGUGGUCUCAAAAUAUGUGAUUAAUUAGUAUUCAGUCUUACUGUAGUCUCUUGUUUACUCUAUGUACCUGUGAUAUGCAAAAUAUGAAAAAGACCCCCUAGCCUUCAGGUUUACAUUCUCAUGGUGCUGUAGGUGCAAGCAUACUGUCUCUAGUUUAUUCAGAACAUUGCUUGGCUACUAAUUAUACCAUUUUGGAAGAACCCCUUGGCCAAGAGUUUUAAAAUGCAGAGGGCUAUGUUGAAUUUCAGGGCAUUACUGCUUGUGUUUACACUGAUUUAGCUCUGCUCCUCAACUCUCCCCAGGGAGCUGCUCAUUAAUACAAACCAGGAAAGAAACCAUUCUGCCCAAGUACCCUCACCACCCUCCAGCUCUCAGUAAGUGGCCAAGAAAACUUGCUCCAUAAAGACUAUCACCUCAGUUCCUUUUUCCCAGGGCUUUACACUUAUUCAUUAUCUUCCAAGGGCCAGGAUUUCUAGCUAAGCCUUUUAGAACCAAACAGAAGUCUUAAAUUUAGCUUUUUCCUGUAUGACUUGUUUGUUUUGAAGCAGCAUUAUAGUAGAUAAGGGAGUACCUGACUGCAUCUCCGAGGAAUUUGACUGACAUAUUCAGUUGAACUUUGCAUGUAUCAUUGCUUUUUCCCAGGAUUCUGAAACAGAGGUUUUGCAUGUGUGUUCAAGCCAGGCCUGAUUGGAAGUGUAAGCAAUAGUGGCAGGCCCAUAGCUGAUUCUAGAAUGCUAACAUUCUAAUGCAUGGUUGAAAAUUUUCAUUGUUAGGUAGUUAUUAGUAAUUUUAUAUAUGCAUUUAUCAUUAAUGAAGCAAUAGAUACUUAAACCAAUAGCUUGGUUUUAUUAUUUUUAUUUUUUAAUUAAAGAUUGUCUUACUUCCAUUGAAAUUGGAAGUACAAGAUAAACAAGGGGCAACCACAAGACAUUCAAACUGUUAGGAAUACAGCAAGCAGUGCUUACUCUGUUUCCUAGCUCUAUUUAUUCCCAAGCAUGUUUGCAAAUAAAAGAUAAACUAAGCAUGUUGAAUAAGCUGCUGUUAUCAGGGUAGUGCAGGAUUUCAGAAGAGUAGGGAAAUAAGCCAAGUAGAGUCAUCUUCCUUCAGAAAUAACAAUGUUCAGUGUUAAAUAACUAGCUCUGGGGCUUGUCUGAUUAGGUUUUUGUAGACUAAGUUUGAGGUUUCUUCAAACUACAGAUUGAGCCAGAUUCAUGGUCUAUCGUCCCUGAACAGGCAGGAAGUAGCCUGAGUGUCAUAAAUGGGCGCCACCAUCAGUGUGCACUUCAGUAAUGAAGGAGGCUUCUGUUUCAGAAGGUGCUGGCUGAGGACCCUGCAAGGCCCUGCAGCAAGGUUGUUUUGUAGGAUACAGAAGUUGGGACUCAGGCUGUGCUGUGGCUCUGUUUACAACUGCAGAGCUGGAGUUGUUCUUCAGAUGAGUCGGUCAAAAUGUGUAACUUGCCUGAAACUUGAUUCCUGAGGGACAGGAAAAAAAUUUCUUCUUCCAAAAAAAUAUAUUUAUUUGGAUGAAUGAAUAUUGGUUUGUUAUAAUAGUGAAAGGAACAGAAGUGUAAUCUACUGGCAGAACAUUUACCUGAGAAAAUGGGUUUAAUUGCCAGCACUACCAAAAAAAGCCUCAUGGUGGUAGCAUAAGAAUUUCUUGACUUUGAAAUGCAAGUUACAAAAUGAUUUUGACAAAUGAGAAGUAUUUAUAAUGUCUGAAAGACUUAAAUAGAUUUCAAAUAAAACUGUUUCACUGGAUUCAGUCCAGUUUACCUGUUAUGUGAUGGAAAAAUAGUUUCAAAUUUAACUUUCACUGUGGUCCUUUGCUAUGGAUGUCAACUGGAAUAGUGACUUCUAACCUUCAGAACUGAACUAAAGUUGUCAGUGUGAUGGUUGCUUUCCACUGAAACACAGGAAUCGAGGUAUGUGUUGUAUCCCAAAUAGAAGUGUUCUUUGCCACUUACUAAUAAAGAUGUAAGGUCAGAGUUCUUCCUUCUAGCAUUCUCUUCCUAAUAAUCACUAAAGUCAGAAUAUCAAAAGGCAUGGCUUGAUGUGUAUUUGGUAGACUCAGGCUUUAUAAGAUACCUUUAAAGGGGCUGGAGAGAUGGCUCAGUGGUUAAGAGCACUGGCUGCUCUUCCGAAGGCCCUGAGUUCAAAUCCCAGCAACCAGAUGGUGGCUCACAACCACCCAUAAUGAGAUCUGACGCCCUCUUCUGGUGUGUCUGAAGACAGCACAGUGUACUUAUUUUAUUUAUAAUAAUAAAUAAAUCUUUGGGCCAAAGGGAGCAGGGACUGAACGAGUGGAGCCAGCCAGAACAAGUGGGGUUGACCAGAGCAAGCAGAGGACCUAAAAUUCAAUUCCCAACAACCACAUGAAGGCUCACAACCAUCUGUUCAGCUACAGUGUACUCAUAUGUAUAAAAUAAAUCUUAAAAAAAAAAGGCAGAAUACAGUUAGGAUUGAUGGUGAUUUUCCAAGCAUUUUCAACAUCUUUGGGAAUGGUAUGCUGUAUCCUUAAUUUAAAUGUUCUUUUGUGCUUGGAUCAUAGCUCUUGGAGAACACUUGGACUCAGGCCAGUCCUCAACACUGACACCCUAUCCCAAAGAUCAGACAAGAAUUGUGCCAGUGUUACCAGUCGGUCUAUAAACAACAUUACUAGUCUGAGCCUAAGCAUCCCUGUAAUGAAAAAGAUUACGAGUGGUAAUCAACUUGAGAGUGGUGCAUUUUCUGCCCUUCAAGCAUAGGUGUCACUGUUCGCUUGCCCUUCCUUGUAUCUUGUGUUGCGCCACCAGUGUAUGAGGUGAUGUUAAAGAGCGCCAGUGAAUGUUUGAAGCACUAUAAAAGGCAGCUUCUUAAUCUAUGCAUCUUUGGGAGUUUUGAAGAAAUUUGACUUCUUGGGAAAGGAACUGUUUUUUGAGAGUCUGAAACUGCACCUGUAUGUAUAUAUUUUUAGCAAUAAAGCAUGAGCAGAGAAUGCACUGAAACUUCA